AAGUCGUAACAAGGUUUCCGUAGGUGAACCUGCGGAAGGAUCAUUAAAGAGACGUUGCCCUUCGGGGUAUACCUCCCACCCAUUGUUUAUUAUACCUUUGUUGCUUUGGCAGACCCGGCUUCGGCCCACCGGCUCCGGCUGGUCAGUGUCUGCCAGAGGACCUAAAACUCUGUUUGUUAAUAUUGUCUGAGUACUAUAUAAUAGUUAAAAC
rnacentral:misc_RNA from 1 species